rnacentral:rRNA from 1 species
UCCAGACUCCUACGGGAGGCAGCAGUGAGGAAUAUUGGUCAAUGGGCGCGUGCCUGAACCAGCCAAGUAGCGUGAAGGAUGACUGCCCUACGGGUUGUAAACUUCUUUUAUAAAGGAAUAAAGUGAGGCACGUGUGCCCUUUUGUAUGUACUUUAUGAAUAAGGAUCGGCUAACUCCGUGCCAGCAGCCGCGGUAAUACGGAGGAUCCGAGCGUUAUCCGGAUUUAUUGGGUUUAAAGGGAGCGUAGAUGGGUUGUUAAGUCAGUUGUGAAAGUUUGCGGCUCAACCGUAAAAUUGCAAUUGGUACUGGCAGUCUUGAGUACAGUUGAGGUAGGCGGAAUUCGUGGUGUAGCGGUGAAAUGCUUAGAUAUCACGAAGAACUCCGAUUGCGAAGGCAGCUUACUAAACUGCCACUGACAUUGAUGCUCGAAAGUGUGGGUAUCAAACAGGAUUAGAUUCCCCCGUAGG